rnacentral:rRNA from 1 species
CCGUGAACCAUCGAGUCUUUGAACGCAAGUUGCGCCCGAAGCCAUUAGGCCGAGGGCWCGUCUGCCUGGGCGUCACGCAUCGCUCGCCACCCAACAUCGUUUUGAUGGGUGGCGGAUGUUGGCCUCCCGUGUUGCAAGAUGCGGCCGGCCUAAAAGCGAGUCCUCRGCGAGAGACGUCACGACUAGUGGUGGUUGAAUUCCUCAACUCGAGUSGUGUCGGCCGAUGCC